rnacentral:lncRNA from 1 species
UUUUUUCAAAAAACGUUGUAACGAUUUUUAGUUUCUUCUACAAUCUACGCAAUAAAAUCAGACAAAGACAUAAACACAUAAAAUCAGACACCAAGAGAAAUUGAGUCAUUUGUACAAUUUUUGGAAUUUCUUUUUUUUUUCUUUUAUUUCUCCACUCUUUCUUAAAUUCGUUAUUCUAUGGUGACAGUAUAAAA